UACGAAGGGGGCUAGCGUUGCUCGGAAUUACUGGGCGUAAAGGGCGUGUAGGCGGACUGUUAAGUUAGAGGUGAAAGCCCAGGGCUCAACCUUGGAAUUGCCUUUGAUACUGGCAGUCUUGAGUACGGAAGAGGUAUGUGGAACUCCGAGUGUAGAGGUGAAAUUCGUAGAUAUUCGGAAGAACACCAGUGGCGAAGGCGACAUACUGGUCCGUUACUGACGCUGAGGCUCGAAAGCGUGGGGAGCAAACAGG
rnacentral:rRNA from 1 species